AAUCUCAAUCCUCCUAGGUUUUUGACCUGGUUGGACUUGGACAUGGGCGUCUGCCAGCAAUGGCUCGCCUCAAAUGACUUAGUGGAACAUCCCACAUCAGUGUUAGACGUAAUAAGUUUCGUCUUGUCCUUUGCUUUCAAUAUCCUGCUUACAACCCUGGACCUUGUACACUUCGGUGUGCUCGGCCAAACCUUUGA
rnacentral:misc_RNA from 1 species